GUGGCACUGCACCACAGGGACACUCACAUUACUCUGCUUUUCAAGCUAGGCAGCUGAAAAAGGCUGGUAUUUUAACAUCAGGCAUUGUGGCCAGACUCAAAAGGGAAGUCUGGCCUGGAGAAACAAACUCCCAGAGCCAAGGUGAGGCCAACAGUGAAGCUGCUUUCAUUUUAAUAGGGAUAGGAAGUCACCUCAGCAAGCAGCCAAGGAUAGAUACAUCAGGCUGACCUGGGAACACUGUAACUUCCAUUACUGUAAGUUCAUUUCCUCUCAAACCUGCUGGCAGGCCCAUGGAACUGGAGAAGGCUAGGCUGCAGUCCUGGCCACAGCAGGUGCUGUGCAGGCCCUGCUGCACCACAGGUACAGCCUCGGUGCGCAGCAAUGAGAGGCAAUAUUGAUGCCUCUAAUGAUUGUCUGGCCUCAUUGUUUACCUCUGGUAGGCCCCUCAGGUACAUCAUGCUGCUCUGGGCCUUGUCUUAUGAUUUUUUGCUGUAUAUGGAGUCAGAUUUUUGAUCUUCUGUCCUGUAGAUUCAUGGGUGAUCAAAGCACAGACAAAGAAAUGAGCAGUUCUUGGACUUAUUCAGGAUAUGUUGACUACGGCAGAAGAUCAUCCAACCUCCGGAAGUGUCCAAAUUUGCAAGACAUGUAAUUGCCCAGAUGAUAAAGCUGGAUGCUGUGGCAAAAGGCAUAAUGGAAGGAAUGUGACUCACUUCUCACCUGUCUUUCCCAAAGUGUGCUGGCAGCCAAGUAUGACAUUUGAGACAGUUUCAAAAGACUGUUUCUCUUCUCAAAUAAAAUGAAGCUUUAUUCAGAUACUCCUUUUAAUUCUGAAGUCUGAAAGAGGCCAUGUACUUAACAUCCUCAGA